rnacentral:rRNA from 1 species
CCCUUAGAUGCUCUGGGCCGCACGCGCGCUACACUGACGAAUGCAACGAGCUUAUAACCUUGGCCGAAAGGUCUGGGUAAUCUCCAAAUUUCGUCGUGAUGGGGAUAGAUUAUUGCAAUUAUUAAUCUUCAACGAGGAAUGCCUAGUAAGCGCAAGUCAUCAGCUUGCGUUGAUUACGUCCCUGCCCUUUGUACACACCGCCCGUCGCUCCUACCGAUUGAAUGGUCCGGUGAAGCGCUCGGACCGCGGCCUCUUGACGGUUUUCCGUCGAUUGGCUGUGGGAAGUUCGUUAAACCUUAUCAUUUAGAGGAAGGAGAAGUCGUAACA